UCUCCUGCCACAUCCUGUCCCCACUGCAGUCUCGCUGUCCCCAGGCUGAUCCUGCCUCAUGGCACCAAUGGUGCUGGCCCUCAUCCUGGGUUGGUGGCUGAUGGCAGCGAUCAGGGCACAGAACGUGCCCCGACCCUCCCUGUCGCUGCAUCCCAGCCAGGGGGUGUCCGUGGGUGACACUGUCACCCUGCGCUGCCACCUGCCCCAGUCGGCUGCCUGGGUCUGGCUGUACCAGGACAGAGGCUGGAGAUACAGCAAGAGCAAGGACAAGAAGCAGGACGCAGCUGAGUUCUCCUUUGUCAGCACAAGUCAGGAACACGCAGGUGUAUAUCAGUGCCAGUACCGGGUGCCUGAGUCAGAGGAGAUAUCAGAGCAGAGUGACCCCGUGCAGCUGGUGGUGACAGGUGAGGGCACUGGGGACAGCAAAUGGCUCUGGGUGCUCCCAACAGAACCAUGUCCCAGUGCUGUCCCCUCUCCUCAUGCAGAUCGCAGCUAUUCCCUGCCCGGCAUUUCCCUUCGCCCUGAGGAACAUGUGGGGACAGGGACCAAUGUCACCAUCCACUGCUGGAACAAGGACUAUGGGGCCACAUUCCUCCUGCACAAGGAUGGGUGUUCAGCUCCUAUCCAGAGCCAGGAGCCUGACAGUAGGGGCACAGCCACCUUCACCCUCUUUGGGGUGACCCCAUCUGACAGUGGCACCUAUAGGUGCUCCUACCACCCCUGGGGAUAUCCCUUUCUGUCCUCACCACUUGGGGACAGUGUGACACUGGAGGUGGCACCCACACCUGCACCCCCAGGUGGGUCUCAACCCCAUUUGGGUACCACUUGGUGUCCACCAUGGGUGGCUGUGUCAUCUCCUGUCCCCACCAAGGUAGUGGCCAGGGAUGUGAUAACCUGAUCAUCCUGACCUCACAGGUGCUGUAUUUACUUCUCAUGGGAACUUGGUGGUGGUGGUGGCUGGGGGCUGCGCUGCUGCCUUUGUCUUCAUCCUCAUCCUUGUUUUCUUCUUCCUCACCGCCCGCAGAUGUCGGAUACAGAGAGAUGAGAGCCCUGGUGGGGAAGGGGUUAAAUGUCUUUUUUUCCCCGUAGAUCCCUUCCAAGGCUGCUCAGUCCUCUCCAUAACACCCACUCCAUUCCCCUCCUUGUUUUAAUGCAGGUUCCCCCACAAAAAAUCCUGAGGCCAUGGAGUUCCAGGUAAAUCUCUGGGUCAGGGAACCCCAAAUCCCAACCUGACCCUUGGAGCCCGCCCGAGUCCCACGGAGAGCCUCAAACCCUGCCCAUGGGAACCCAGGGGAUUCCCAGCCUCAUGUGGUUUGCCCUCAUGUUAAGCGCACCACACAAACCCAGCCCAUGGAGAACUGCAAAUCAGCAUCACCGCAUCAGGAACCCCAAACAUCACUUGUGGGGUGUCUCCCAGAGCACACUGGGGACGCACAUGGUGACACUCUUCUGUCCCCCUGUGUCCCCAGGUGUCACCCGGUGACAGCGAGGGUCUGACCUACAUCGAGCUGCAAGCUGUGACCUCCAGCACACAGCCCCCAACACCCCCUUCUGCCCUGCAGCCCUCUGUUAUCUACGCCGAGGUGGCCACUGGGGGGCACCACUGAUGCCUCCGAUCUGUGUGCACAAACACGUGUGUGUUGGGUGCACACAUGUACUUCAAGUGUGCACAGUCCAGCAAACACCAAGGACACACGUGUGCUCCCCAUGGCACAUCUGCAUCGCUCCAACCCAACCAGCACCCAUCCCACAAUGAUUUUGGGACAGGAUUCCCAUUUCUGGAGUGUUUUCCUUCCACACUUCUGGAGGAUAAUUCCCUUUCUGAAGGGUUUAUCCUGCUUUUUGGGGGAGGAUUCCUCUUUCUGCAGGGCUUUACCCUUCCUGUACCCCUAGAGAGUUUGAUUCCUAUUCCAAGAA